CGAACCGAGCGAACGUUGUUCGGAAUCACUGGGCUUAAAGGGCGCGUAGGCGGGUGCUCAAGUCUGUGGUGAAAUCCUCCGGCUCAACCGGAGAACGGCCAUGGAUACUGGGUGUCUCGAGGGUGGUAGGGGUAUGCGGAACUAUCGGUGGAGCGGUGAAAUGCGUUGAUAUCGAUAGGAGCUCCGGUGGCGAAGGCGGCAUACUGGACCACAUCUGACGCUGAGGCGCGAAAGCCAGGGGAGCGAACGGGAUUAGAUACCCCGGUAGUCCUGGCCCUAAACGAUGGGUACUAGCUAGUAGGGUUCACAUGGCUUUACUGGCGAAGCAAAAGUGCUAAGUACCCCGCCUGGGGAGUAUGGUCGCAAGGCUG
rnacentral:rRNA from 1 species